GACGGGGGAUGCAAGCGUUAUCCGGAAUCACUGGGCGUAAAGCGUCUGUAGGUGGUGAUGCAAGUCACUGGUGCAAAACUCUGGCUCAACCGGAGGAAAGCCAGUGAAACUGCAUGACUAGAGUGUGGGAGAGGUAGAAGGAAUUCCCUGAGUAGCGGUGAAAUGCGUAGAUACAGGGAAGACCACCGGAGGCGAAAGCGUUCUACUGGAACACAACUGACUUUGAUAGACGAAAGCUAGGGGAGCGAAUGGG
rnacentral:rRNA from 1 species